rnacentral:sRNA from 1 species
AUGACCAUUAACGCUGGCGUUCCACAAG